rnacentral:rRNA from 1 species
UUCCGGUUGAUCCUGCCAGACCUGACUGCUAUCGGAUUGAUACUAAGCCAUGCGAGUCAUUGUAGCAAUACAAGGCAUACGGCUCAGUAACGCGUAGUCAACCUAACCUAUGGACGGGAAUAACCUCGGGAAACUGAGAAUAAUGCCCGAUAGAACAUUAUACCUGGAAUGGUUUAUGUUCCAAAUGAUUUAUCGCCGUAGGAUGGGACUGCGGCCUAUCAGUUUGUUGGUGAGGUAAUGGCCCACCAAGACUAUUACAGGUACGGGCUCUGAGAGGAGUAGCCCGGAGAUGGGUACUGAGACACGGACCCAGGCCCUAUGGGGCGCAGCAGGCGAGAAAACUUUGCAAUGUGCGAAAGCACGACAAGGUUAAUCCGAGUGAUUUCUGCUAAAGAAAUCUUUUGUUAGUCCUAGAAACACUAACGAAUAAGGGGUGGGCAAGUUCUGGUGUCAGCCGCCGCGGUAAAACCAGCACCUCAAGUGGUCAGGAUGAUUAUUGGGCCUAAAGCAUCCGUAGCCGGCUCUGUAAGUUUUCGGUUAAAUCUGUACGCUUAACGUACAGGCCGCCGGGAAUACUGCAAAGCUAGGGAGUGGGAGAAGUAGACGGUACUCGGUAGGAAGUGGUAAAAUGCUUUGAUCUAUCGAUGACCACCUGUGGCGAAGGCGGUCUACUAGAACACGUCCGACGGUGAGGGAUGAAAGCUGGGGGAGCAAACCGGAUUAGAUACCCGGGUAGUCCCAGCUGUAAACUAUGCAAACUCAGUGAUGCAUUGGCUUGUGGCCAAUGCAGUGCUGCAGGGAAGCCGUUAAGUUUGCCGCCUGGGAAGUACGUACGCAAGUAUGAAACUUAAAGGAAU